UCGAACCUUAAUCCGAGAAGGAACAACUUGUGAACGUGUAAUCACACAUGCGGUGCAUGGGGACUUUAACCGGUCGUCAUGCUCGCCUAUUCCAUUGGGUCAUGCGCAGUCGAAUGAGUGCACACUCAUUCGGCUGUUCGUGGUUCUCUUGGAAUUCACCAAACCACGGCGCGGAAAGCGUCAAGGACCAUUCAACAAAACAACNUCACUCUGAAUGCUUGCCUAUUAGGUUCGUAUUCGUGUGUGUUGCUGCGAUCAUAAGYUUAAAACUCACUCUCGGCANCGAAUAUCUCGGCUCUCGCAUCGAUNAAGAACGUAGCGAAAUGCGAUACUUGGUGUGAAUWGCAGAAUCCCGUGAACCAUCGAGUUUUUGAACGCAAGUUGCGCCCCAAGCCGUCAGGCUGAGGGCACGCUUGCCUGGGUGUCACGCAACGUCAUCUCCCCCAUCUGUCUAAGCUUUGCUUGGGUGAUUACGGAGAAGGAGACUGGUCUCCCGUGUGUUACCGCACACGGUUGGCCUAAUAUCGAGAACGGGGGCGUGGAGCUACCUGGCGAGCGGUGGUGUGUAGAUGCCUCGUGCAAUGUCGGUUGCUUCCGUCCCUAUAGAGUCUUUGACCCUUUUAGUGUCGCUUGUGUGAUUCUUCGAACGCGACCCCCAGGUCAAAGUGGGA
rnacentral:rRNA from 1 species